rnacentral:lncRNA from 1 species
AAAAGAUGGUAGGAGUAAGAUUUGCAUUUCCCUCACACACAUAUAUAAGAGCUCUGUUUUCACUUUCAGGCAUCACACAAUUCAAUCAUCACUCCUUUGCUUCGGAUAUCAGCUUCUGAAGAAGUGCUCUUCCUUUUCAUCAUGUUCUCAACCAAGUACAGUGCUAUCUUCCUGGCUGUGGUUCUCUUCUCUUGUCAAGUUCUAUUGCCGAUUGUCGAAUGUGGUCAUCAUGGAGGUAAUAAUGACCAAGGUAUAGCAGUUCUGCUGGCUGCAGGUUUACUCGCCAAGCUGCUUAGACACCACCACAAGCACGAAGAGCACCACAUCCACAUUCCUGUUCCCGUACAUCAUGGGCACCACGAGCACCAUGAACAUCAUGGACAUCAUGGAUCGGGUACCACUAGAUACAUUAUCCACCAUCCUGCACCAUUCCAACACUUAUACGGAGCUUCUUCUCAACCUGUUAUGAGGCGUGUCGUUUAUCCAGCUAUCGAGGGAUAUCCCAGAAGCCAUAUUAUGCCAUUUUAAGUAGAGUAUUGAAUUUAAGCUAAAAGCCUAAUAGCAGUUCUGAUCUGUGAUCUGGUUAAACACUCAUGACUGAUUUUAUUAGAAGAAAAAUAUUAAUUUUAAUUACUCUAACUGCCUGCAUACAAAAUGAAGUUACUCAAAUUUCGUUUCAGAAUACUUCGUAUGCUAAUGCAUUAGUAUAUUUUAUGAGUACGAAAGAACAUUAAUUUAAAGCUGUUAUUCAUUGGUUUUUAAUGAAGUUAUUUUGUCAGAAAAUAAUAAUUUAACACUCCCCUUGAUAAACGUACCUUUCUCAUAACGUUUUCUUUUUCUACAUAUAUUUCAUUUUCUCCUUUUCCACGAGAACAGUUUAUAUCGGUGUUACUUAUAGCUAUUAAUUUCGUCGUUGUGCUCAUAAACAAAUGUAAUUUUUUUUUCUUACUUGUAAAACAAAUUUUAUUCUUAAUUUUUAAAGUAAAACAUUUUUAAACGCCAGCAGUUAAAUUAAUUAGCUGAAGCAAAACUCCCUUUCUAAUCAAACAGGAGAAAUGUGCCAAUUAUGAAAGCUCAGUGGUGUAUUUUUGCACAAAACAUUCGCCAUAAUUCUCUUUUUUUUUCAAUAUAACCUAACUUAAAUUACAACGCAUAUAAAUUUUACUUAAAGAAUAUUAUAUUUGUUCAUGUUGAAGAAUGUUCCCACAAUAAUAUAUAUAUAUACUUAAUUCAAAAUGUUUAAAUUUCAAGGAUAAAUGAACAAAUCUCAAGAUGAAAGUCACAGAUUUCAAGGACAAGUGAACAAAUCUCAAGGUCAAAGUCAUAGAGUUCAAGGUCAAAUGAAAAAUUUUUCAAGGCCUAAGUUUUUAGCUAUUUCAAAAUAACUUUGCCGAAAAUUUACCUUCUUUAUUUCUAGGCUAUAUGUGCUUUUCCCGUACGUUGCAUAAUCACAAAAACUGUCCUUUACUUAAAAUAUCUUUCCAAUAGAAUAGAUCAUUUAGAUUUUAUUCUUCGUUGAUGUACGUUAGAUUGCCAUAACGAAAACAAAAACCCUUCGUCAAAUAGGAAUAUCCAUUUCUCCUUUCAAACAGCAACGCAUAUUCAAAAAAAGAAACUAUCUGCAUACCAGUUUGAGCUUUUAUGUUUUACAUAUAUAGAAUAAUGUCAUAUUUAUCAGAUUACAGAUUUGAAAUACCUAGUCAAUAAGAUUUACAAUAACAGCCAAUAAGAUGUUUAAAUGCAAAUGAUUAUGUGAUUUUUAUAACGUAGAUGAUAAAUGUGACAAUGAAAUAUGAAAUGUAUAUAUAUUAGAUUGUACAUAAGUAGAAAUAAAUCAUAUAUUUUGAAUGUGAA